CACGUAGGGCGCAAGCGUUGUCCGGAAUUAUUGGGCGUAAAGAGCUCGUAGGCGGUCUGUUACGUCUGCUGUGAAAACCCGGGGCUUAACCCUGGGCUUGCAGUGGAUACGGGCAGACUAGAGGCAGGUAGGGGAGAAUGGAAUUCCCGGUGUAGCGGUGAAAUGCGCAGAUAUCGGGAGGAACACCGGUGGCGAAGGCGGUUCUCUGGGCCUGACCUGACGCUGAGACGCGAAAGCGUGGGGAGCGAACCGG
rnacentral:rRNA from 1 species